UAACUUCCUCCAGGGGAGCCAGCGCAGCCCCGCCCCUUCCCCCCCCCCCCCCAGUGCACCUGCUGCUUAGGGAUGCUGGGCAUGGGGGAAGGGCACCCUGCCAACUCCCUCUUCUUCUCAACCUGAGAUCUGCCCGGCACUGAGCCCCCAGCAGCCGACAAGGAAUGUCAGCCCUUUACAAAGCCAUUAUGCCAGGCGAUGUCUGACCCUUCCCCUGGUACAGCGGGGGUAACCGAUCGGCAAAGCAGCUGCCUAAGUCAUACCAUGUGACGGGGCCGUGGCCUCUGAGCCCCAGACUCCCCCUCCCUCAGCGGCUUUUCUCCCCACCUCCCGCACUCCCAUUCUUUCCCCCACGGCUUUCUGGGGGCCCCGUGAGAACGUGCUGGCCAACGCAGGCCUUGCCACCACAAGCAGAGCAAGUGACCCAGUGUCCCUCCGUCCCCUGGCCUCCCCCGCCAGCCCCUGGGGCAGGACCUUCUGCCGUUAGGCUCUAAGCUGACUUCCUUACUGGGGCUUUGUUGGGGCGAACCCCCAAAUCUGGCAGCCAACAGGAAGCUCUCCCUGUCUCCCAGGUCCUGCGGUCAGCGGGUCGGUUCCUGCUGCCUCUUGCAGGUCCCGCCCCCACCCCCUCCCUGAGGUCGGUGCUGGCCCCUUGCAGAGGGCAGGGAAGAGAGAUAAGCCCUGGUGUGAAGCGAUGGUGAGGAAGGGCAGAUACUGUUCAGCCCUCGCCUCUCUGCAGGCCCCCCGCUGCUCCAGCUCAGAUAAGUCCCUAGGCACCGGCAGGUACCCCCAGAUCAGCAAGGCUGAGGGACUCACGGCGGGGGGAGGAGGUUGAGAGGACAAGAGGGGGAAGCGAUGCAGACCCCACACCCCCAGCUCACUCACCGGCCGGCUGGCCUGUGCCUGAAGCCACCAGGUGGUCUCCCUUCCCCCCUCUCUGUGGGCUCUGGCUGCCCCCUCCCCAGCGGCCCCAGGGGACCAGCCAGCGCCGGUCUGUUCAUUAGGGAUGAAAUGUGAUCACCGCCCCGCCAGCGCUCCCCACCUGCUGCCCUGGCAGCCGGCGGAAACCAGGGGCAGCGAGGCCACCCUGGCCGCCCUGCGGGCCUCAGUUUCCCCACUUCUACCCCCGGGGAGGGGAUGGGUCUCCACCACCCCCUUGCGCACGCUGCCCCAGAGGGACACUGGGGUCCUCAGCCUGUGCCCGCCUGAUGUUCUACAUUCCAGGCGUUUCCAGGUUCUAUAGUCGGUCCAGUUCUGCAGGAUAGAACGUUCUGUAGCAUUCUAGACCUUCCCUCCCCUCCGUGCUGCUAUUGUGGCCACCCGGGCUUUGGAAGUGCAUAACCUUCUGUGUUUUCAAUACUCCAAAGUCUCACAUUCCAGGACUCUCCGGUUCUAUUGUUAGAAUGCUCUAUGAUUUUUUUUUUGUUUGAACACUCCAUGACUUUCUGGAUCUAUUAUUAAACCUCACUGAUUUUUAUCUCUGCCCCGCAAACACGCAUUUCCCUUUUUCUACAGAAUCGGGGCGCGCCCCCCUCGCUCGCUCGCUCUCUGUUCCCGAGACCUGCUCUCAUCUCCAAUUCCUGCAGCCCGGUUUCCAAGGUGGAGCAGAGUCCUGAGACCUGGCGGCGGGGACAGGGGGCGGCUGGGCGCCCCCGCCACCUGCACCCCGGAUUCCCACCACCUGGGGAGGGAGGGGACAUCAGACACCCCGGCUGCUUCCCCAGCCCUAGCUCCGCCGGGGCCCCAGCUCUCCUGGCUCACACCGGCCGCGUUAUUAUUUGUCUAGACACAAACCAAAUUACAGGCCGUGUCCCAAGGGAACAGUGGGCUUCCUGGGGAGGGUGGGGGGGUGCGGGUGUCAAACCCCGCUCCCCCGCACUCUUCUCUCUCCCCCCUCCUCUGAAGCUCCGCCCAUUCCACCCCCACCAACAGUCCCCACCCACCCACCACCCACCCACACACACCCCGCCCCCACCUCGGCAGCAAGGUUCCAGAAAUAUUUGCUCUGCACCCUCCCUUCUGGAUUCUCGCCAGGCACCCACCCCUCGCUCCCUGGCGGCCAAGCCCGAUCCCCCAAAGCAAGUCUAGGCAGCGGCAGCAAAGGAGGCCAGCACUCUGGAUUUGGGGUCCUGAAGCUCCCCUUCCCCAGGGCAGGGCGGUGUGGGGGGGGAGCCUGGCUCUCUGACUGGCAGUGUGCCUCGGUUUCCCCACCUGUCACCCGCUGGGGGGUGUGUGUGGCUUACGCAGCUCCCCAGCCCAGCUGGAGCUCCAAGCUGAGAACAGCCAAGACUUCCAGGCUGGCGCUUCUGGACGGAAGGAGCACCCAGCUGCCUACAGGAUCUGGGGUUUCCAGUCCUGCCCGGUGAGCGCACCAGCCUCCGGAUCCUGCCAUCCUAAGCUUCCACAUAUAAGGCAGAAUAUGCCGGGCUUGUCUUACGGCGCCUGGCUUAUUUCACCCAGCGCGAGGUCCUCCACGUCCAGCCGGUGUUCCGCCAGUGGCCGGCUCAUAUUUUUGGUGCUCCGUCCAGUGGCCCCAAGAAGCCGUGCCUGUUCCAAGGACUUUGGAAAGACCUGGAAUACAGCCCCGAAAUGACAACUCCUAGGUUCACAAAUUCUCUAGAGUUUUUUUUUUUUUUUUUUUCAUUAAAAACCACGAAGAGCGCCCAGUUCUUAAGGGAACCGUUAGAGCCGUGACGAAUCCCACCCUAUAGCUGGCCAGGACAGAUUCCCAUCACAGCACACCCACCUCACCCCAGAGGGAACUCCCUUCCUUCCUCCAGGCGGAGUGCCGGAGUGCGGAGCAUUCUAGAACUUCACAGAAAUGCAGUCCUGCAGCUCUUUUAAAAACAAACAGAAAGAGGUGGCUAUUAUUACAGUCACUUGCUGUGUGGUCUUGGACUGGUGACUUCACCUCCCUGAACCAGGCUGCAGGAGACAGGACGCGCGUGGGCGGACCAUGGAGCCACACCUGCAGCUCCUCCCAGGAGCCGUUCUGGGAGGUUAGAGUCCCGUUGUUUCUCAGGCUCCCCUUAAAUCUGCCAUACGGCUUUCUCAGGGUCCCAGUGGGACGCAGGUACCUGGGGGCAUUUAUGGAAGGGGCAGUUUAUAGAGGGGCGGGCUGGGCGGGGGAGCCCACGCAGUUGGGGACCCUGCGGUGAGGACACAGCCUCUACCACCACCCCUGCCCACCUGGGGCAGAAGGGACGGGAGGGAGGGCGCCGCCUGCCAGACUCCAGGGACACAGUCUGGGGAGGAGCCGUGGGGGCUGCAGCUCUGCAGGUGCAGGGAGCGGCCCAGGAAAUCAACACCCCCCCCCCCCUCCCGCCUACCCUUGGACUUCCUGUCCAUGCCUCUCAUUGAUAGAACCCAACCAGAAGGUGGAGGGCAAAGGUCACCCGUGGAUGGAGCCUGCACAAGGCGGUCUCCCAGGGCCCAGGGCAGGGGCGGAAAGGCUGAGCCUGACCCUGGGGGCCAAGUAGAGGGUCCCCAGCCCUUUUUCAGUAGAACUUUGAAGGCACAUUUUCCCAUGCAGACCCGAGGCCGGCCAUGAGGGGGCGACAGAGCACCAAGUCUCCAGAUGGCACCAGGGUCUAAAGGUGGGGCGCAGGAAUGGGGGCUGUGACUCGGGAGUGGCAGAAAAUCGGCCUCUGAAACCUGACGGGACGGCUGGUCAGUGCGGGCUGAAUAGGAGUUCGCCAGGUGGAAAGGAUGGCCGGGGAGGAAGGCGGCACAGAGGUCAGAGACGAGAGUGGACUCUGGGCUCCUGUGGCUGCCGGAGGCGGUGGCGGCGGGGGCACGGGCUUUGGGCACAGGGGCUGAGACGCCCUGUGUCUCAUACUGGGGGGCCUGGGUCUUGGCUCUGCUCAGCUUCCUGCUAAUGCACCCUGGGAAGCAGCCGGUGAGGGGUCAAGCUCUUGGGCCCCUGCCACCCCUGUGGGAGACCCGGAUGGAGCUCCCGGCUCCUGGCUUUCACCUGGCCCAGCCCUGGCUGUUGCAGGCAUUUGGGGAGUGAACCAGUGGGUGGAUGAUCUCUCUAUAUUUCCUGCCACCUCUGUGACGUUACAAAUAAAUUAAAAAAAAAAUUUUUAAGUGAAGCAUCAGAAAUGAUGGAA